AGGGUUCAGUACAAGUUUAACCGAUUUAUGUGAUUUUCCCAGGUGUUGUUUGAUCGUCAUGAAGGCAGUUCUACUUGUGUUUGUCUGUCUGCUGGUGGCAGCACAGGUUGCCUGGUGCCAGACGACGGGAGAGUCAUGUGGCCAGUUCCCCGAGUGCGCAAGUCAUGGAGUGUGUAAGGUCACGUGUCCACACUGUUCCGGUCACACUGAGUGCGUGACAGACACCAGUCACAGGCUGUUCGGCAACUGUGUGUGCGUCCAUCAGGAUCGCGACUAAGCAAAGGAGAAUCAAUUACAGACAGUCCAACUAAACUGAAAACUCACGAAUGUUCCUGUUUCUCGAACUUCAUCAAUAAAAGCAUUUCUGCCCUGUCUA